AGUUGAGGUGGUUUUCUUUUUGGCACAUUUGUUGAGUUUUUCCAAUGGUCCUGACUCUGCCACAGAUACAGGAGCUGGCAAAGGCUUGAUAACAAAGAGAUCUCUUUCUAGCCUUUCCCGAAUCAAAGAUUGGUUCCCACAGGU
ensembl:snoRNA